AUGGCUCAGGACGAACGCUGGCGGCACGCUUAACACAUGCAAGUCGAACGAGCGAAAGGUGCUUGCACCUCUAGCUAGUGGCGGACGGGUGAGUAACACGUGAGCAAUCUGCCUUUCGGUGGGGGAUACCAAUUGGAAACGAUUGUUAAUACCCCAUAACAUAACGAAGCCGCAUGACUUUGUUAUCAAAGAUUUAUUGCCGGAAGAUGAGCUUGCGUCUGAUUAGGUAGUUGGUGAGGUAACGGCUCACCAAGCCGACGAUCAGUAGCCGGACUGAGAGGUUGAACGGCCACAUUGGGACUGAGACACGGCCCAGACUCCUACGGGAGGCAGCAGUGGGGAAUAUUGCACAAUGGGCGAAAGCCUGAUGCAGCGAUGCCGCGUGAGGGAAGAAGGUUUUAGGAUUGUAAACCUCUGUCUUUGGGGACGAUAAUGACGGUACCCAAGGAGGAAGCUCCGGCUAACUACGUGCCAGCCGCCGC
rnacentral:rRNA from 1 species